rnacentral:miRNA from 1 species
UUCAUCCUUUCUGAUGAAUGAGUAUAUAGUGUGUAUGUGUAUGUAUACAUACACAUACACAUACACACUAUAUA